rnacentral:rRNA from 1 species
UGUGUGUUAGUGGAAGCGUCUGGAAAGGCGCGCGAUACAGGGUGACAGCCCCGUACACAAAAAUGCACAUGCUGUGAGCUCGAUGAGUAGGGCGGGACACGUGGUAUCCUGUCUGAAUAUGGGGGGACCAUCCUCCAAGGCUAAAUACUCCUGACUGACCGAUAGUGAACCAGUACCGUGAGGGAAAGGCGAAAAGAACCCCGGCGAGGGGAGUGAAAAAGAACCUGAAACCGUGUACGUACAAGCAGUGGGAGCACGCUUAGGCGUGUGACUGCGUACCUUUUGUAUAAUGGGUCAGCGACUUAUAUUCUGUAGCAAGGUUAACCGAAUAGGGGAGCCGAAGGGAAACCGAGUCUUAACUGGGCGUUAAGUUGCAGGGUAUAGACCCGAAACCCGGUGAUCUAGCCAUGGGCAGGUUGAAGGUUGGGUAACACUAACUGGAGGACCGAACCGACUAAUGUUGAAAAAUUAGCGGAUGACUUGUGGCUGGGGGUGAAAGGCCAAUCAAACCGGGAGAUAGCUGGUUCUCCCCGAAAGCUAUUUAGGUAGCGCCUCGUGAAUUCAUCUCCGGGGGUAGAGCACUGUUUCGGCAAGGGGGUCAUCCCGACUUACCAACCCGAUGCAAACUGCGAAUACCGGAGAAUGUUAUCACGGGAGACACACGGCGGGUGCUAACGUCCGUCGUGAAGAGGGAAACAACCCAGACCGCCAGCUAAGGUCCCAAAGUCAUGGUUAAGUGGGAAACGAUGUGGGAAGGCCCAGACAGCCAGGAUGUUGGCUUAGAAGCAGCCAUCAUUUAAAGAAAGCGUAAUAGCUCACUGGUCGAGUCGGCCUGCGCGGAAGAUGUAACGGGGCUAAACCAUG